CAAUAGCGUAUAUUAAAGUUGUUGCAGUUAAAAAGCUCGUAGUUGGAUUUCUGGUGAGAUGGAUUAUGUCUAGGUCGAAAGAUCUUGUUCAUGGUUCGUUUUGCCCUUCUUGUCAGGAACCCGCUGAGAUUCGCGUCUUGUCGGUGGAAUGGCAUCGUUUACUGUGAAAAAAUUAGAGUGUUCAAAGCAGGCAUCGCCGUUGAAUACAUUAGCAUGGAAUAAUAAGAUAAGACUUUGGUGGUCUAUUUUGUUGGUUUGCACGCCAAAGUAAUGGUUAAUAGGGAUAGUUGGGGGUAUUCGUAUUCUAUUGCUAGAGGUGAAAUUCUUAAAUUUAUGGAAGACGAACUACUGCGAAAGCAUUUACCAAGGAUGUUUUCAUUAA
rnacentral:rRNA from 1 species